UACAGAGGGGGCCAGCGUUAUUCGGAAUUAUUGGGCGUAAAGGGCGCGUAGGCGGCCAUGCGUGUCUUUCGUGAAAUCCCUCGGCUUAACUGAGGACGUGCGGAAGAAACUGCAAGGCUUGAGUCCGGGAGAGGGAUGCGGAAUUCCAGGUGUAGCGGUGAAAUGCGUAGAUAUCUGGAGGAACACCGGUGGCGAAGGCGGCAUCCUGGACCGACACUGACGCUGAGGAGCGAAAGCCAGGGGAGCAAACGGG
rnacentral:rRNA from 1 species